rnacentral:rRNA from 1 species
UGGGGAAUAUUGGACAAUGGGGGCAACCCUGAUCCAGCCAUGCCGCGUGCGGGAAGAAGGCCUUCGGGUUGUAAACCGCUUUUGUCAGGGAAGAAACGAGUUUCUCUAAUACAGAGACUUAAUGACGGUACCUGAAGAAUAAGCACCGGCUAACUACGUGCCAGCAGCCGCGGUAAUACGUAGGGUGCAAGCGUUAAUCGGAAUUACUGGGCGUAAAGCGUGCGCAGGCGGUUAUGCAAGACAGAUGUGAAAUCCCCGGGCUCAACCUGGGACCUGCAUUUGUGACUGUAUAGCUAGAGUACGGUAGAGGGGGAUGGAAUUCCGCGUGUAGCAGUGAAAUGCGUAGAUAUGCGGAGGAACACCGAUGGCGAAGGCAAUCCCCUGGACCUGUACUGACGCUCAUGCACGAAAGCGUGGGGAGCAAACA